rnacentral:snRNA from 1 species
GUACUCACUUCGGCAGUACAUCUACUAAAAUUGGAAUGAUACAGAGAAGAUUAGCAUGGCCCCUGCACAAGAAUGACACACAAGUUCGUGAAGCAUUCCAUGUUUUU